GCUGCUUUCAAGGCCGGUGUCGUUUCCGGCGGCUGUGGUGUCAGAAGGACGUUAACGUAAUCCUCUGUGACUUGGGAGACAACACACUUUUGCUGAUGCCCAGGUCUGUUCAGGAGAAACUGAAGAUGAAACUCAACAAUAUUAAGAUGAAAAAGAAUCUCCAAGCAUCCGUGCAGCAUCUUUUAUCAUGUCCUGGUACAAAGGCAGCCGUGGUUCUGACAUCCUGCUGAAUCAGCAUGGAUCUUGAUUCGAGUGUGUUUGUUUUGCCCUGUUAAAUACUACUUCUGAACUGUACAACAGCUUACAUCCUUCAUAAAUUGUUGUGAGCAGUUAAUGCUGAUGCCUGAGAAACAUAAGUUUCUUGUGUCUUUGUGAGGUUUUGUUUAAGAUAAAACUUCCUCUUAAUUUUUCCUUAUAAAGAAAAAUACAUUACGUCUCCAGUAGGAGGCUCACUCUCCUAGGUAAUAAACUUGUUCACACAGGGCAACAUUUUUUCUCUAGGAAGCUGAAGAAGGGUGCAGCUGAGAUGCAGACAUUAGAGAAACAAGAACAUACUGGAGAGUAGUCAGAGUCUUGAUGAAGCAGUGAAGGAUCCCAAGGAAUGAAAUCAAAAGAAAUACCAACUGGCUGUAAAUGCAUCGGAUGAGAAGGAAGUUACAGGACUGGUUAUAGAUAUUGCAGAGAAAGUGGCUUCUCAUCUAGAGGGCUGCAGAGGCAGCUGAGCGAAUGCAAGAGGGAUUCCAGUAUUUGAAGCACUUGUAAAUGAAGAUCUUUUGACCAACACAGCAGAAAACUGAGAUGUGUCUAGAGGUAAAGCUGGUUCUUCAGGAUAAGGUUGUACCUACUGUUUCUAGUACAGCAGUAGCCAAAGAUACGACCUCCGCUAAGGAGACACCUCAAGGAAAGGCUCAUGGGGUCCAGUUCACAGUCUGCUGCCAUUUCAAAGCAUUUUUAAUAUAAAUGUAUUUACCAGACACAUCUACUGUAUUAA